UGGUUGUUGUGCUUUCGGAUGCACUAAUUGAGGAGGAGACAAGCCUGGGCUUUUAGAUGCAGCAGCCAGUAGAAGACGGGAAUUUGGAUUAAAGAGCAGUGGACAAUGGCCCACCUGGCCCUAUCAACUGGACCAGGCACCACGGCGGGUGCGGUGAUCACUCAGAGGAGAGGAAAGAGAGCCAAGAUAGGAGCCAUGCUGGCCCGGCUUUGACUUAAUUCUGCUGCUAAAGUUCCGGUCUGGACUUAAUUGGAACUCAGGUUGGCCAAGCAACGGAAAUCAGAGACUGCUGUGCCCACAUCUUUACAGAGACAUGCCCCAUCAACAUCCCGGAUCAAGCACUCGGCGGGUGGUCCACGUCCUGAGCUGUCAAUUCUCACUCCCAAGUCGUCACAUAUGGAUGCAUGGUCAAGAGCCAUAGUCGUCAGUUUGUGACGCACUGAGAAUCCCUUUUCCAUCAUAGUUCGACAUCUUGGGGGAAGCCCUGCAGCAUCAGUUUUUGACGUACCACCUACUGUGCAGUACCUAAUUAAGGGUACAGGAUGUGAUGGAGACAAACACCUUCAAAUAUGACGAUUUCCAGUAACCUCAGACACAUGGAACAUAAUUUUCUUCAAAACCUUCACUGUGCAUUCGGAGAUAAUGGUGACUUACAACAGGGAAGAGCCACAGUCCUUGCUGCUGAGUGUCCUUGCAGCUGAGCCUACUUGUUGCUGACUGUGACAGCUCUGACUGAUGUGCAGAGCUUCCAUGAUGACAGCAUUGUUGUCUCUGAUGAGGACUACACUCCAGAGCCAAGCACAGACCCGGGACACGACCGGGGUCGAGGCAAAGCAGAGGAGGGAGGGCUGCCAGGGUCCGAGGAAGAAGAGGCAGAGGACGGGGAGGAUGAACUGCAAGUCAAGGAGCUCAUAUUCUAAGACCUGCAUAGAGCUUCACGCUCCAACAAUGGCAUAUGAACAUAUAUAUAUAUAUAUAUACACACUGUAUAUUAUAAUAUUAGUAUAUUAUCUUCCAGUGUACUCAAAGUUUCU